UGGGGAAUAUUGGACAAUGGGCGCAAGCCUGAUCCAGCAAUGCCGCGUGUGUGAAGAAGGCCUUCGGGUUGUAAAGCACUUUUAUCAGGAGCGAAACGCUGUCGGCUAAUACCCGGCGGAACUGACGGUACCUGAGGAAUAAGCACCGGCUAACUUCGUGCCAGCAGCCGCGGUAAUACGAAGGGUGCAAGCGUUAAUCGGAAUUACUGGGCGUAAAGCGUGCGUAGGCGGUUUCUUAAGUCUGCUGUGAAAUCCCCGGGCUCAACCUGGGAAUGGCAGUGGAUACUGGGAGGCUAGAGUGUGUCAGAGGAUGGUGGAAUUCCCGGUGUAGCGGUGAAAUGCGUAGAGAUCGGGAGGAACAUCAGUGGCGAAGGCGGCCACCUGGGACAACACUGACGCUGAGGCACGAAAGCGUGGGGAGCAAACAGGAUUAGAUACCCUGGUAGUCCACGCCCUAAACGAUGCGAACUGGAUGUUGGUCUCAACUCGGAGAUCAGUGUCGAAGCUAACGCGUUAAGUUCGCCGCCUGGGGAGUACGGUCGCAAGACUGAAACUCAAAUGAAUUGAC
rnacentral:rRNA from 1 species